UCGCAUGUUGAAAAGUAGAGACAGCGAGAGAAAGACAUUUCCUCAGAAUGGACAAGGCAAGAAUAGCUGGUCCAACCAAUGGGAGGCCCCUUUGUCCGAUGGAAAGUCAAAGUCAAAAAUAGGCCAACACCCAUAUGGCAAGAAGGUGAGAGGCGCCAUCGUCCCCAACCAUCGCUGGCACUGUCAAUUCCCGGAAAGGGAAACCCCCGACAGCUCUUACAAGACCGGGUGGAAUCCCCUCCCCCACCUCUUCAAACAAGGCGGGGGGAGUUCAAAACCCGUCGAAGCAACAAUGACCCAGCAAGGAGCAUAGUAUAUGGGAUCGAGAGGGGCGCCGUUCUCAAAGCUCACCCCCCCCCCGCGGCCUUAUGUCCAUGCCGCGGUCUCGUCCAAACUUCCGACACCGGAAUGAGGGAUUCUACUAAGAAAAUUCAAGAACAACAGGGCCUAUCCAAGGUUCAGGUUUCUCCUCAGGCUUCAAGGGCUCCAUUGGCCCUCUUUAUCUCCUGAGGGUUCUAUUACAUCACUUCCUUCACAACCUGUUGCUGAUUUGUUUCGCCCUCUCCAAGGGUCUGAAAGGGAUUCCAUCCCUGAGGCCCCUCCUGAGGCAGGGCCCCAUAACACAGGCUACCAGGACCAGUCUGGUCCCCAGUGGGACAGUGAGCCAACAGGAAGCUAGACCAUCUCCUCAAUACCCAGCAGAGAUGGCAGACAUGAUAGCUGCUGCUGUCCAAAGAGGCAUUGAGGCCUCUAGACAAACAAGGACCCAUUCAUGGGUCUCUGAUUAUGCAGAAUCCCAAACUAGUCAGGAUUUAGUGCAGGACCAUAUUCCUGAAAGGGCUGAAGAGUUGCAAGAUCAGUCUCCCUCUCACCUCUCAUUAGCGGAUGAAGGCGGAUUCAGGGAGCAAGACCUUUCUGAGGAUGAGGAUUUGGUCCCUGACCAACCCUCCUUUUUUUAACCCACAGUUGUUCCGUUCUCUACUGCAUAAGGCCAAGAUCACCACCCAUCUAGGAAUGUCACGUCCUGCUCCAGGAUCUACUUCUGACACAACAGAUCCGCCCUUAGACUUGUUUUCUGUACCCGUGGUGGAAUCAGAAGAGGUGCCAGCUCCCAAACUAUUUGUGGAGGUAGUUGACAAACAGUGGACCACUCCUCUUGCAGGCCCUAAUCCCAAUGCCCUAGACUGCUGUUUAUACAAUUUGGACCCAAACUUUCUCAAAUUGUUACAGGUCCUUACAGUAGAUGCUCCUGUGGUGGCUUUAGCGGGCCCCACGGUUGUAACAGGGCCCCCAGAGGAGACCCUAUGCCCGAAGGACAAAAGGGCAGAACAGACCCUGGUUAAGUCUCACCAGUCUGCCGCCUGGGCCGUGAGAGCCGCCUCCUCGGCCUCUUUCUUUAAUCUAGCAGCCCUCCUGUGGCUUAAACAAUUACAGGAACGACUCCCCUCCUCUGACACCCAUUCCCAUCAGGACCUAAACAAAAUUGUCGCUGCCCUUGAAUACUCAGCCGAUGCCACCUUAAACGCCUCUAGGUUUGCAGCUAAAUCAAUUGGCUCCACCGUUUCUUCCCGUCGCCUGCUUUGGCUUAGGCGUUGGCAGGCUGAUGCCAAAAACAAAUGGCGGUUGGCUGCGGCCCCGUAUUCAGGUAAUUCAUUAUUUGGAACAGCCUUGGAUCCCUUACUCAUAGAGACCAAGGACAAACGCAAAAUUCUCCCUAGUAUGUCCCGUCGUUCGGACUCUAGACCCAAUCCUUAUUUUCGUCCCUUCAGAACAGCAUUUUCAGUUCUUCCAGAUCCCAAAGGUCCUUCUCCCCCAGACAGGGUAGACAGGAUAGACAGGGACAGAGAAGCUCCUCCAAACGGCCCUUUCGGGGCGGGAGGGGUCGCCCAUUCCAUCGCUCACGUUGACUGCUCGCCCGUCCCUCCCAUUGGGGGCAGGCUGGCUUUCUUCACUAGCCAAUGGGAGGACUCCUCCAUGGAUGCUUGGGUCAGGGAUACGGUCAGGUCGGGCCUCUCCCUGGAAUUCCUCUCCAGCCCCCCGAGUCACUUCGUCAGGUGUCCUCUAUCUCAUGACCCGACGAAAAGGUUUCUCGUGGCAUCGGCCAUAAAACACCUUCUCUCAAUUCAGGCCAUCCAGCCAGUGCCACGAGACCAGCACGGUCAGAGGUUUUAUUCCCGACUGUUCAUAGUUCCAAAGGCCUAAGGGGGAUGGAGGGCGAUUCUCGACCUCAAGGCUUUGAACCGCCACAUCAUUUACAGGCGGUUCAAGAUGCAGUCUCUCCAGACCAUCUCGGAGAGCAUCAGGGAAGGCGACUUCCUCACGUCGGUGGACCUGACGGAGGCAUAUUUCCAUUCCCAAUUCUUCCAGCCCACAGACGAUUCCUUCAUUUCUGCCACGGAGGUCUUCAUUAUCAAUAUUGCGCCCUCCCGUUCGGACUCUCUUUGGCCCCCAGAGUCUUCUCCAAACUGAUGGCCUCUCUCAUGGCCCAUCUCCGUGCGAUUCCUGUAAGAAUUCAGUCCUACCUGGACAAUCUUCUUAUCCAAUCACGGACAGAGACCGGGGCGGUAGCAGACUUGUCCACAACAAUUCAGGUUCUAGAAUCCCACGGAUUCUCGAUCAACAAAGCCAAAAGCCACCUACAACCAACAACUCGAAUCCAACAUCUAGGGGCCAUCAUAGAUACGGUCGAAGGCCGAGUUUACCUGUCGCAGGAACGCCUCUCCAGCCUACAAGAUCUGAUCUUAGAGGUGAGAAAAAGCCAUCUUAUCCCCGUACGGUUUCUCUCCCAACUCUUGGGGAAGAUGGUCUCCUGCAUCGGCAUCGUACCCUGGGCACGCCUCCACUGCAGGGCUCUGCAGUGGUUCCUCCUCCUGUAUCAAAAAGCCCACAAGACAACUUCUUCAUUACGAGUCCAGGUUCCCCAUCAGGUCAGGGACUCCCUGCAGUGGUGGGUCUCCCCAGCCCUGUCAAAAGGCAGAGAGUUCAGGGAACCUCAGCACCUAAUAUUGACGACUGACGCCAGCCUCCACGGCUGGGGUGCCCAUCUGGGAUCGAACAUGGCUCAAGGUCAGUGGUCCCCAGACGACCUCACCCACAACAUAAACUGGUUAGAGCUCCGGGCCAUACAUCUAGCCCUACUGUCAUUUCAAGAUCUAGUUCUCAAUCAGGACAUCAGGAUUUUAACAGACCAUGUGGCCGCCAAGUCCCAUGUGAACCGCCUAGGGGGAACACAUUCACAGCCCUUGAUGCAGGAGGCCAUGCAAUUGGGCCUCUGGGCGGAGACUCACUUGAGGUCCAUCCGGGCCUCUCACAUAUCAGGGGUGGUGAAUAUACAAGCCGACUGGCUCAGCAGAGUCUCAGUCGACCACGGGGAGUGGCACCUGAAUCCAGACUUGUUCUUCGAGAUCACACGCCGCUUCGGGACCCCGAAGGUGGACUUGUUCGCCACUCAGGACAAUCAUCAACUGGAACGCUUCUUCUCCAGGUACCCAGCCCCAGGGGCAGAGGCCAUAGACGCUCUUCGCAGCCCUUGGCCCCCCCGGGCUUCUAUAUGCAUUUCCUCCCAUCCCGAUAAUCCCCAAGGUUAUCAGGAAGAUGUUGCAGGAACAGGCGGAGCUUCUUCUACUGGCUCCCCACUGGCCUCGCCACCCCUGGUUUGCGGACCUGGUGGCUCUCUCCAUAACGCCUCCUUGGAGGCUUCCUCAGGACAGGUUGUCGCUCAGCCAGGGUCUGUCGUGUCCCACUCCUCCGCUGACGGCCGGGUCAGGGAAAUCCGAAUCAGGCUUGCCUCUGCAGCUCUGCCCAAAGUCCUAGCAAAGUCCUCAGAGCAGGCAGGAGACCAGAAAGUGACUUCAGCAAGAUAAGUUCGACUUUGCCUGACUCAGAGACUGCCAGAAAGCAGAUCCUUUAUAUAGGCCAUGGGGUGUGGCUCCAUGACUCAGCACUCAUUAAGGCCUGCCCCUCCCUUCCUUCUGUUGCCUCCGCCUAUCCAGUCUUCUGAUGUGAGGGUCACUCCAAUCAGCAGCUGUUGGAAAUAAACUUUCCUCAGGCUCACAUGCUGUGGAGGAGGGGGAGGGGUCUAGCUGCUCCGUUUGCCUGGGCAUGGAGCCAGGGCUGGGGCCGGGGGGUGCUCCCUCCUCUGCAGCCUGCUUGGGCAUGGAGCCAGGGCUGGGGCCAGGAGAUGCCCCCUCCUCAGCCUGUCUGGGCAUGGAGCCAGGGCUGGGGCCGGGAGGACAUUCUUCAGCAUUCGGGAGCAGAUAAGCAGACCCCGGCUGCGGUGAGAGCGGGCAAGACACAACAGGGUCAGUUGGUACACCCAGACCCUCAAUGGUUCCAUCUGACCGUCUGGCGCUUGAGCGGCGCCUCCUGAGGAAAAGACACCUACCUACUAACGUCAUCAACACCAUCCAAGCAGCUUGUCGGAGUUCCACCACUCGCAUCUAUGGAUCCACCUGGCGUACCUUCUGCAAGUGGUGUUCUGAUAAAGAUAUACGGGCGCUUCUACGGUCACCAUUCUUAAAUUCCUACAACAUGGCCUGGAACAGAGACUGGCAGCUAACACCCUUCGACGACAGGUAGCGGCUCUCUCCUCUAUUUUGUCUUGCGGUUCCAGGCGUUCGUUAGCUCACCGUCCCCUCAUUCGCCAGUUGCUGAAAGGUGCAACCAACCUUUCCCCUCCAGUCAUCCAUAGGUACCCCACUUGGGACCUCACCAAGGUUCUACUCUCCCUCACCAAGAGCCCCUACGAACCUUUGAGAGAAUGUGGUUUGCAGUUUUUAUCAUACAAGGUAGCCUUCUUAGUCGCCAUCACUUCGGCUAGAAGAAUAUCAGAGCUUGCUGCCCUCUCAUCCAGGGCAGAUCUCUGUUUGUUCCACUCGGACAGGGUUGUCCUCCGUUUAGAUCCCACCUUCCUUCCGAAGGUCAACUCCCUGUACCAUAAAUCACAGGAACUGAUCCUUCCUAAUUUUUCUCCAGAUCUGAUACACCAGCUGGAACGGUCUUGGAAUACUCUCGAUGUCAGGAGAACCCUUCAAAUUUAUCUUAAAUGAACCGCUUCUCUUAGGAGGACGGAGGCUCUCUUUGUGUCCUUUCAACCGACUUCCAUCAGCCUCAAAGUGUCUUCCUCUACUAUAGGUAGAUGGCUUAGAUAUUGUAUUGCCAAGGCCUACCAGAUUCAGGGGUUACCUAUCCCAGGCCACAUUACGGCCCACUCCACUAGGAGUGCGGCCACAUCGGUCGCUUGGGCCACCCAGGCUCCCUUAGAGGAGAUCUGCAGGGCCGCCACUUGGUCUUCACUGAAUCCUUUCAUUCGACAUUACAAACUUGAUGUUUAUGCGUCAGCAGAGGCGGCCUUUGGCUGCAGGGUUCUCCAGAAAGUCCAGGUGGGGAGUGCGAGCCCGGACCGGGCGGGUCCCUCCCGAUAGGACUUAGCUUUGGUAUGUCCCAUGCCUGGCUGCUGGUCCCGCCUUGCUGGAGAAUGGACAUUGGUCCUACCUGAAUGUCCUUUCUCAGUUGGCGGGACCAGCAGCCAGCCCCGCCCUAGGUCGCCCAGUUCCGGUCUCUUCUGGUGGGUGAAAGGGAUCUGCUGUCAUAGGUGGCCGGGGGGAGGCAUAACCUGUUUUUGCAGUUCUUUUUUUUCAGCUCAGUGCGUCAGUCUGCCGCAUCAUCCUCGUCCGAAAGCUGAGAAGCACCAGGAAGAGGAGAUGCUUUUCAACUAGCAGACUCGAUCCCAUUGGAUACAGACUGAGUCAAUCCCAUGCCUGGCUGCUGAUCCCGCCAAUUGAGAAAGGACAUUCAGAUGUAUAUACACACAAACACAAAAGACCUGAAGGCCAAACAAGGAAUAAUGGGUGGAAACUGAUCAAGGAGAGAUCAACCUAGAAAUAAGGAGAAAUUUUCUGACGUUUUGCAUGGAGUUAAAUCAGCCAACUCUGCCAAACAUCCGCAAAUGGAAAGGCCCUCGAGGAUGUUGGAAGGGAAGCAUUUCAGAGAAGCUCUCAGGGCACCCCGAGAAGCGUAUAGAAUAUUCUGGCUUUCUGU